ACGGAAGGCAGCAGUGGGGAAUAUUGGGCAAUGGGCGCAAGCCUGACCCAGCAAUGCCGCGUGAAGGAAGAAGGCUUUCGGGUUGUAAACUUCUUUUAAGUGGGACGACAAUGACGGUACCACUUGAAUAAGCUCCGGCUAACUACGUGCCAGCAGCCGCGGUAAUACGUAGGGAGCAAGCGUUAUCCGGAUUUAUUAGGUUUAAAGGGUGCGCAGGCGGGACAUUAAGUCGGUGGUGAAAUACCGUAGCUCAACUACGGGGCUGCCAUCGAUACUGAUGACCUUGAGUGCGGAUGAGGAAGGCGGAAUGUGGCGUGUAGCGGUGAAAUGCUUAGAUAUGCCACAGAACACCGAUUGCGAAGGCAGCUUUCCAAUGCGUAACUGACGCUCAUGCACGAAAGCGCGGGUAGCGAACAGGAUUAGAUACCCUGGUA
rnacentral:rRNA from 1 species